GAUGAACGCUAGCGGGAGGCCUAACACGUGCAAGCCGAGCGGUAGAGUUUCUUCGGAAACUUGAGAGCGGCGCACGGGUGCGUAACACGUGUGCAACCUACCUUUAUCUGGGGGAUAGCCUUUCGAAAGGAAGAUUAAUACCCCAUAAUAUAAUGAUUGGCAUCAAUUAUUAUUGAAAACUCCGGUGGAUAGAGAUGGGCACGCGCAAGAUUAGAUAGUUGGUGAGGUAACGGCUCACCAAGUCAAUGAUCUUUAGGGGUCCUGAGAGGGAGAUCCCCCACACUGGUACUGAGACACGGACCAGACUCCUACGGGAGGCAGCAGUGAGGAAUAUUGGACAAUGGGUGAGAGCCUGAUCCAGCCAGCCCGCGUGAAGGAUGACGGUCCUAUGGAUUGUAAACUUCUUUUGUACAGGGAUAAACCUACCCUCGUGAGGGUAGCUGAAGGUACUGUACGAAUAAGCACCGGCUAACUCCGUG
rnacentral:rRNA from 1 species